GUAGGGAAUAUUGGGCAAUGGUCGGAAGACUGACCCAGCCAUGCCGCGUGCAGGAAGACGGCCCUCUGGGUUGUAAACUGCUUUUAUCUGGGAAGAAAAAGGCCAUGCGUGGCAAAUUGCCGGUACCAGAUGAAUAAGCACCGGCUAACUCCGUGCCAGCAGCCGCGGUAAUACGGAGGGUGCGAGCGUUGUCCGGAUUUAUUGGGUUUAGAGGGUGCGUAGGCGGCUGAUUAAGUCAGCGGUGAAAGACUUCGGCUUAACCGGAGCAGUGCCGUUGAUACUGGUUGGCUUGAGUGUCGGAGGGGUACAUGGAAUUGAUGGUGUAGCGGUGAAAUGCAUAGAUACCAUCAGGAACACCGAUAGCGAAGGCAUUGUACUGGCCGACAACUGACGCUGAUGCACGAAAGUGUGGGGAUCGAACAGGAUUAGAAACCCUAGUAGUCC
rnacentral:rRNA from 1 species